UUCCGGUUGAUCCUGCCGGAGGCCAUUGCUAUUGGGGUUCGACUUAACCAUGCUAGUCGUACGAGUUUAGACUCGUGGCGAAUAGCUCAGUAACACGUGGUCAAACUACCCUGUGGACUGGGAUAACCUCGGGAAACUGAGGCUAAUCCCAGAUAGUGCUCCCAGCCUGGAAUGGCGGGAGCCUGAAACGUUCCGACGCCACAGGAUGUGACUGCGGCCGAUUAGGUAGACGGUGGGGUAACGGCCCACCGUGCCGAUAAUCGGUACAGGUCAUGAGAGUGAGAGCCUGGAGACGGGAUCUGAGACAAGAUCCCGGGCCCUACGGGGCGCAGCAGGCGCGAAACCUUUACAAUGCACGCAAGUGCGAUAAGGGAACUCCAAGUGCGAGGGCAUACAGUCCUCGCUUUUCUGCACUGUAAGGUGGUGCAAGAAUAAGGGCUGGGCAAGACCGGUGCCAGCCGCCGCGGUAAUACCGGCAGCCCAAGUGAUGGCCAAUAUUAUUGGGCCUAAAGCGUCCGUAGCUGGCCGGGCAAGUCCAUCGGGAAAUUCACACGCUUAACGUGUGGCCGUCCGGUGGAAACUGUUCGGCUUGGAGCCGGAGGACCCGAGGGGUACGUCUGGGGUAGGAGUGAAAUCCUGUAAUCCUGGACGGACCGCCGGUGGCGAAAGCGCCUCGGGAAGACGGACUCGACAGUGAGGGACGAAAGCUAGGGUCUCGAACCGGAUUAGAUACCCGGGUAGUCCUAGCCGUAAACGAUGACCACUCGGUGUGGCACUGGCUACGAGCCAGUGCCGUGCCCUAGGGAAGCCGUGAAGUGGUCCGCCUGGGAAGUACGCCCGCAAGGGUGAAACUUAAAGGAAUUGGCGGGGGAGCACUACAACCGGAGGAGCCUGCGGUUUAAUUGGAUUCAACGCCGGA
rnacentral:rRNA from 1 species